rnacentral:tRNA from 1 species
AGAGCAUCUCGUUUACACCGAGAGGGUCAGCGGUUCGAGCCCGUUACCGCCCACCA